GACAGAAGGUGCAAGCGUUACUCGGAAUUACUGGGCGUAAAGCGUCUGUAGGUGUCCUGCCACGUCUGGCGUAAAAUUUCAGUGCUCAACACUGAACGCGUGCCGGAAACGAGCGGGAUCGAGUCAUUCAGAGGCAUCUGGAAUGUCGUGUGUAGGGGUAAAAUCCGUAGAUACACGAUGGAACGCCAAAAGCGAAGGCAGGAUGCUGGGAAUGCACUGACACUCAGAGACGAAAGCGUGGGGAGCAAAGGGG
rnacentral:rRNA from 1 species